rnacentral:rRNA from 1 species
CCUACGGGUGGCAGCAGUGGGGAAUAUUGCACAAUGGGGGAAACCCUGAUGCAGCGACGCCGCGUGAGUGAAGAAGUACUUCGUUAUGUAAAGCUCUAUCAGCAGGGAAGAAAAUGACGGUACCUGAGUAAGAAGCCCCGGCUAACUACGUUCCAGCAGCCGCGGUAAUACGUAGGGGGCAAGAGUUAUCCGGAUUUACUGGGUGUAAGGGGAGCGUAGACGGCAGUGCAAGUCUGGAGUGAAAGGCGGGGGCUCAACCCCCGGACUGCUCUGGAAACUGUACGGCUGGAGUGCAGGAGAGGUAAGUGGAAUUCCUGGUGUAGCGGUGAAAUGCGUAGAUAUUAGGAGGAACACCAGUGGCGAAGGCGGCUUACUGGACUGUAACUGACGUUGAGGCUCGAAAGCGUGGGGAGCGAACAGGAUUAGAUACCCGGGUAGUC